CCCUCCCUCUAAAAGCACUCUGUGUGGGGAACAUGAGAGCCAGACCAAAGCUCAGAGGAAUAAACGAGGAACAAAACGUAAAUAUGAACCUAAAUCCGGCUGUGUGUCCUUGAAGAGUGAUUUGUCUGCAGAUCGUCCCAUUAAUUUUAAAGUCCAGCCUGUGUCUGCUGCAGAGAGAAUGACUGAAGUCCACAACAAGAUGAUGAUCGAGGAAGAGGAAGUCAGGUCAAGAUUCCCAUCUGUGAGGAGUGACUGGUCCAAAGAUAGCAAUCCAAACUUCAGUAAUGAACC